UUACAUUGUCCCAGGUAAGUAGAAAUAAAGCCAGCUGUAUCAGUCCCAUCUCUCUUCAAAAGCAUUUGUUAGUCAGGUGACAGCCUCCUGCAUUCCCCCUCUUAAGAGGGGACUGAGUGUCUUUCUGGCUCUGGCUGGCAGGGUGAGGGGUCCAGGCCCCAUUCUCCUUUGCUAGUGGCUCCUUCUUGCCUCCCUCCAUUUCUGAGAUCAUCUUUCCUCCACCAGCAUCCACCGCUCUCUGCCCAACCCCGUGCGUCCAGGGGACACUUUUUCACAAAGAGCUUGGACGGAGCUGCCCAUGGGACUCCUGGUCCAAGGCAGUUAUUUGAGGGAUACCCUCGGGACCUGGGCAAGAGAAGAGCCCUCUGUGGCUAAGGAGACCCUGGGGUCACUGAGAAGCCAGUUCAUCACCGUCAUCAGUCUCAUUAUCAUUAUUAUUGUCCUUGCUUUCUUCCUGCCACUACUGGCAAGUGGGCAUGGGUCUGUCAUCUGGCCUGCAACAAGACAACUGGCCACAGGGGGCAGCAGGAGGCAGAAGCUUUCCCUAAAAAUAAUACUAAUGCACCCCCUGGAACAACGCGGGUCACAGAAUCCUAGGAAGACGAGGACCCAAGGCCCCUGCCCGCAGACUAUGUCCCAGACAGAGAAGCCGUGAGCCCACAGCUGGUCAGGAGAGUGAGGCAGAACCCGAAUUCAAAGACUCUAGCUCUCCCCUGUCCCUCUGCAUGCUAUGGCUCCAGCCUUGAGUUGGGUUUGAGUCCAUAACCUCCUGUCCCAUCUUUUGAGAGCGUGGGCUGUGGGGUCCCCAGGGUGGCUCAUGGAGAUCCUGCUCUCAUGGAGGGGUCUGGUCUGACAGCCCCACACAGGAGUCUAGGGGAGGACAAUCCCAAUAGAGUGGACUGCCCUACAGUCCCUAAGAGCUGGAGGAAUCAGAGCAGGAGAAAGUACUGGGUGUUGGAAGAAUGGGUUUAGGCUGAGGCUGGGUGGGAUGUCAGCGCCAGUGGGUCAGGAGGAACCGGGGGCCACAUGAGAAACAGCCUGAUGGGGCCAGGAGAUGAGGCUGGAGGCGGUGGGAGAUGGAGCUGGACCAGGAGGGCGGCUCAGACCACAGGUGUCCCCAGAGCAGGCAGAGGACUCAGGCCCAGGAAGCCAGCCUGGAGUUUGAGCUAGAAGAAGGAAUUGGGGCACAGGUGGGACUGGGCCUUGCAGGGAUUCUCUGGGACUGGCUGGGGGAUGAGAGGUGGGCAAGAUGAGAGGCUGCAGUAACCCCAGGCCAGGGAACUCCCCAGAAGCUGGUGGCAUCCCUCACCUGCGGAAGGGUCCUGGCAACAUUGAUGGAAUUGAAUCAAAUGCUUAAGGGCAGGUGUGUCCUCGGCUCCGCAUCAGGCAGGGGUCACAGGUCAGAAGAGGGGCUGUCUGGUGGGGAGUACUCAGAACUUUAGGGACAGGCAAAACAGGAAAGAAUCCAGAUCGCCCUUAUAAGAUCUCCCACCAGCCAGCACAUGACAGAGGUGAGGAGAGGGCAGCCAGCCCACCCACUCCUGCUCAUCUCAUGGACUCCCAGCCCUACCCCUGCCUCUGCCUCUCUCGGGAGGGCCUCCCCUCACUUGCGUGUGGUCUGAAGCUGCCAUGUCCCCCUCUAAUCCUCAGUUUCCCUUUCUGACCCAGCAGGGCAGGACCAGAUGUUCUCUGAGGGCCAUUCCAUGUGACAGACUCAGGACCUCCACUGGACCCAGGCAGCUUGGGUCUGGGGUUGUGAACACUGAGGUUGGAACUUUCCAAAUGGUCCAGGAGAAAUCAGCACUUUAGGGUGACAGAGCCUUGGGCUGUGUGGGGUCUCUCAGUACUCCAGGCAGCAUUCCCGGCCCACGUUGGUGGCUCGAGCUGCGGAGGGAGAAUGCAGGAGCAGGUGCUUCUAAGUGUCUACGUGGGAGUCCUGGGGAGCUGGGGUGGUCUGGGACUGUGGGGCAACUGUCUGUGGGGGGAGUCUGCGUGUGCAUGUCUCUGGGUGUGUACCUGUGUGUGUGCAUUUCUGCAGGCAUGUGUCUGUGUAUUGUUGGGGGCCUCCUAUGUGGGGGUGUCUGCAAGUGUGUUUUUGUGUGGGGACUAUGUGAGGGGUCUGCACAUGUGUCUGUGUGUGUCAGUGCGUGCACACUGUGUGCAUGAGGUCCCUGUAUGGGCUUUGGGAGCCCCUGUGUGUGUAUGUGUGUCUGUGUGUGUUUGGGAGGGUUUGUGCAUGCAUAGCUGUGUGUGAUUCAGGGUGUGUCUGUGUGUGAAUACAUUUGUGUGUGUGAGGUCUGUGUGCUCUGGGGAGCUCUGUGUUUGCUUGUGUGUGUGCACGCACGUACUGCGUGGGGGAGUCUGGGCAUGUAUAUGUGUAUGUGUACAUGUGUUUCUGCACAUGUUUGCAUAUGUGUGUGCUCACACUACAUACCAGCCCUGAAUCACCAACCAUUGACUCUGGGCUGAGCCUUUGCCUGCAGCAGCUCAUUCAGAGUCCCCAGCACACACACGUGUGAGCACUACCCCAUUUUACAGACGACAAAACAGAGGCCCUCGUUGUGAAGGCAUCUCCUCGACACUCAGUUUCCUCAUCUUUGCUCAAGAAAAAGUAUCCAACACUCCCAAAUAGGCGAACUGGUGCCAUGUGGCUUUAACGAAUACCACAGUAGAGUGUUUUCUAAGAACACUUCCACUGUCCUCUGACCAUCUCUGGGGUAUAACUCGGUUUGACUAACUCACAGAGCUGACCGGACCAGCGUUUUACAGCAGUGAGAGCAUCGUGCCGCCCAGCUGGGAAGGUUGCCCUGCUGAGAAGGUGGCCUCCAAGACUGCACCUGUCUUGCCACGCAGGACACGAACCAGCUUUGUUUCCAGAGUAGCCAUCUUAUUUCAGCCUUCUUUUCCCAACUGAAUAUAAAAAUCUCUUUCCACAUUCUCUGGGAACCAGUUCUCCUGCUGUUAGGUGGAUUCCCUCAUUAUAUAUAAGACCCACUAAUAAAACAGAUGCUAACAAAUGCU